ACGGGGGUACGUCCUGUUAUUUUAACGUUGAAUAUAUUCGCUCUAUUCGCAACCCUGUCUUCGAAUCGAUUGACUUUUCUCCAAAUUCUACUCUGCUGAAUAUAAAACGACGUUGGAAAAGUUCGCAGCCCUGUCUUCGAAUCGAUUGACUUUUUCUCCAUACUCUAAUCUCUGCUGAAUAUAAAACGACGAGGAAACGGUGCGAAAGGAUCGUUCAUCGUUGGAUUUCUUUACUAAGAAUGCGAGGAAAUAGUUGAUUCCAAAUGAGUGCUGUUGCAACUUAUUGAAUUGAUGCUAUCACAAACCGAACAAUGGGAAGAGAAGAGAGGUGAAAAGCAAGCUUGACAAUUUUGUAAAGAAGAGGAGGAGGAAGAGGAAGAGGAGGCUUAGGAAAAGCAACGGAUCAACUUUGCGAAUCAUGUAACCACAUAGUUGAUAACUCAACUGCUGCACAUCAAUCUGUCUUCCUUCUUCUUUUAUUGGUACAGCUACCUCGGCCGCGAUUAAGCCAUUAGCCAAUUAGUGAAGGUACAGUAAAAUAUAAUGGAGACUUUGCA